UAGAAUCGAAAUCACACUUUCUCCGCCC
rnacentral:sRNA from 1 species